rnacentral:rRNA from 1 species
GAUGCUAAUACCGGAUAACAACAGAUGAUGCCUAUCAACUGUUUAAAAGAUGGUUCUGCUAUCACUCUUGGAUGGACCUGCGGUGCAUUAGCUAGUUGGUAGGGCAACGGCCUACCAAGGCGAUGAUGCAUAGCCGAGUUGAGAGACUGAUCGGCCACAUUGGGACUGAGACACGGCCCAAACUCCUACGGGAGGCAGCAGUG